CAUAUUUCACGAAAACAAGUUAAAGGUAAUUAAUGAAAUGUAGAACUUUUUUGAACUAUUAUAUGAUUUAAUGGUCUAUUUUAAUAAGUUAUAUACACAUAUUAGUAAGUAAAUCUUUAAUACUCAAAAAGUGCACUCCACGUCAAUAAGGCGCACAUCUCAUGCCUGCACCUUGUUCUUAGAUU